AGCCCCUUGAAUAUUUAAAGGGUCCCGCCUGCCCAGUGGCCUAAGGCUAAACGGCCGCGGUAUCUUGACCGUGCAAAGGUAGCAUAAUCACUUGUCUUUUAAAUGGAGACUCGUAUGAACGGCGAAACCUUUUUCGACUGUCUCCCCUCCCACCCUUCUAAAUUUCUUUCUGUGUGAAGAAGCACAGAUACUUCAGAAAGACGAGAAGACCCUGUCGAGCUUUAGCCACUAAGCGAACCCAAACCUUUCCCAAGUAUCGCCUAAAGGCUUUGGUUGGGGCAACCAUGGAGAAGAAAUACCCUCCAGAACAAGUAGAAGAAACCUUUUCACUACUAACUUCGCCUAAAGAACCAGAAACUGGUAUUCGGAAAAAGUUACCGCAGGGAUAACAGCGUCAUCUCCUCCAAGAGUCCUUAUUGACGAGGGGGUUUGCGACCUCGAUGUUGGAUUGGGGCCUCCCUGGGGUGCAGAAGCUCCAAACGGUUAGACUGUUCGUCUAUUAAAGCCCUACG
rnacentral:rRNA from 1 species